rnacentral:tRNA from 2 species
GCGGGAAUAGCUCAGUUGGUAGAGCACAACCUUGCCAAGGUUGGGGUCGCGGGUUCGAGUCCCGUUUCCCGCUCUA